UGGGGACGACGUCAAGUCCAUCAUGGCCCUUAUGUCCUGGGCUACACACGUGCUACAAUGGCCGGUACAGAGCGCAGCGAGGCCGCGAGGCGGAGCGAAUCGCUUAAAGCCGGUCCCAGUACGGAUUGGAGUCUGCAACCCGACUCCAUGAAGUUGGAAUCGCUAGUAAUCGCGCAAUCAGCCAUGGCGCGGUGAAUACCGUUCCCGGGCCUU
rnacentral:rRNA from 1 species